rnacentral:lncRNA from 1 species
UUCUACAAGACUUAUUUAUUUUUGUUUUUAUUUUUUAUUUACAUUUCUCUGCCAGAAAUCUUGGACUUACAAAGCUUAUUUAAAAAGUAGUCUGUUGUCAGAAAAGAUGGUAGCCUAGUCUUGGUAUUCCUGUGGAGAACUUAGAAAACCUGAAGAGUACUUGUACCCAAAUUGGAUUGUGUUUUAAUGGACAAUGGCUAUAUUUUCCCCAUGUCAAAAGAAUACCAAUGAAAGCAGCUGUUUUUCAAGUUCCUAGGGGUCCAGUUGUCCAGAAUCCCCAAGGAUAAGAUGCUCCCUAUAAGAGCAGAACCUUAACCUCACUCAGUGACAUCGUAGGAACCUCUAGCUGUGGAAUUUCUUAGGAACUCAAACUUUCAAAAGCAUCCAGAGAGUCAAAGCUGGGGGAAAAAAAGCACAUAAAAAUAACAAAAUUUUUAGGCCAGGCGCAGUGGCUCACGCCUUAAUCUCAGCACUUUGGAAGGCCAAAGCAGGUGGAUCAUGAGGUCAAGCAUUCAAGACCAGCCUGGCCAACAUAGUGAAACCCUGUCUCUACUAAAAAUACAAAAAAUUAGGUGGGCGUGGUGGUGGGUGCCUGUAAUCCCAG